rnacentral:rRNA from 1 species
UUAAGCGACUAAGCGUACACGGUGGAUGCCCUGGCAGUCAGAGGCGAUGAAGGACGUGCUAAUCUGCGAUAAGCGUCGGUAAGGUGAUAUGAACCGUUAUAACCGGCGAUUUCCGAAUGGGGAAACCCAGUGUGUUUCGACACACUAUCAUUAACUGAAUCCAUAGGUUAAUGAGGCGAACCGGGGGAACUGAAACAUCUAAGUACCCCGAGGAAAAGAAAUCAACCGAGAUUCCCCCAGUAGCGGCGAGCGAACGGGGAGCAGCCCAGAGCCUGAAUCAGUGUGUGUGUUAGUGGAAGCGUCUGGAAAGGCGCGCGAUACAGGGUGACAGCCCCGUACACAAAAAUGCACAUGCUGUGAGCUCGAUGAGUAGGGCGGGACACGUGGUAUCCUGUCUGAAUAUGGGGGGACCAUCCUCCAAGGCUAAAUACUCCUGACUGACCGAUAGUGAACCAGUACCGUGAGGGAAAGGCGAAAAGAACCCCGGCGAGGGGAGUGAAAAAGAACCUGAAACCGUGUACGUACAAGCAGUGGGAGCCUCUUUAUGGGGUGACUGCGUACCUUUUGUAUAAUGGGUCAGCGACUUAUAUUCUGUAGCAAGGUUAACCGAAUAGGGGAGCCGAAGGGAAACCGAGUCUUAACUGGGCGUUAAGUUGCAGGGUAUAGACCCGAAACCCGGUGAUCUAGCCAUGGGCAGGUUGAAGGUUGGGUAACACUAACUGGAGGACCGAACCGACUAAUGUUGAAAAAUUAGCGGAUGACUUGUGGCUGGGGGUGAAAGGCCAAUCAAACCGGGAGAUAGCUGGUUCUCCCCGAAAGCUAUUUAGGUAGCGCCUCGUGAAUUCAUCUCCGGGGGUAGAGCACUGUUUCGGCAAGGGGGUCAUCCCGACUUACCAACCCGAUGCAAACUGCGAAUACCGGAGAAUGUUAUCACGGGAGACACACGGCGGGUGCUAACGUCCGUCGUGAAGAGGGAAACAACCCAGACCGCCAGCUAAGGUCCCAAAGUCAUGGUUAAGUGGGAAACGAUGUGGGAAGGCCCAGACAGCCAGGAUGUUGGCUUAGAAGCAGCCAUCAUUUAAAGAAAGCGUAAUAGCUCACUGGUCGAGUCGGCCUGCGCGGAAGAUGUAACGGGGCUAAACCAUGCACCGAAGCUGCGGCAGCGACGCUUAUGCGUUGUUGGGUAGGGGAGCGUUCUGUAAGCCUGCGAAGGUGUGCUGUGAGGCAUGCUGGAGGUAUCAGAAGUGCGAAUGCUGACAUAAGUAACGAUAAAGCGGGUGAAAAGCCCGCUCGCCGGAAGACCAAGGGUUCCUGUCCAACGUUAAUCGGGGCAGGGUGAGUCGACCCCUAAGGCGAGGCCGAAAGGCGUAGUCGAUGGGAAACAGGUUAAUAUUCCUGUACUUGGUGUUACUGCGAAGGGGGGACGGAGAAGGCUAUGUUGGCCGGGCGACGGUUGUCCCGGUUUAAGCGUGUAGGCUGGUUUUCCAGGCAAAUCCGGAAAAUCAAGGCUGAGGCGUGAUGACGAGGCACUACGGUGCUGAAGCAACAAAUGCCCUGCUUCCAGGAAAAGCCUCUAAGCAUCAGGUAACAUCAAAUCGUACCCCAAACCGACACAGGUGGUCAGGUAGAGAAUACCAAGGCGCUUGAGAGAACUCGGGUGAAGGAACUAGGCAAAAUGGUGCCGUAACUUCGGGAGAAGGCACGCUGAUAUGUAGGUGAGGUCCCUCGCGGAUGGAGCUGAAAUCAGUCGAAGAUACCAGCUGGCUGCAACUGUUUAUUAAAAACACAGCACUGUGCAAACACGAAAGUGGACGUAUACGGUGUGACGCCUGCCCGGUGCCGGAAGGUUAAUUGAUGGGGUUAGCGGUAACGCGAAGCUCUUGAUCGAAGCCCCGGUAAACGGCGGCCGUAACUAUAACGGUCCUAAGGUAGCGAAAUUCCUUGUCGGGUAAGUUCCGACCUGCACGAAUGGCGUAAUGAUGGCCAGGCUGUCUCCACCCGAGACUCAGUGAAAUUGAACUCGCUGUGAAGAUGCAGUGUACCCGCGGCAAGACGGAAAGACCCCGUGAACCUUUACUAUAGCUUGACACUGAACAUUGAGCCUUGAUGUGUAGGAUAGGUGGGAGGCUUUGAAGUGUGGACGCCAGUCUGCAUGGAGCCGACCUUGAAAUACCACCCUUUAAUGUUUGAUGUUCUAACGUUGACCCGUAAUCCGGGUUGCGGACAGUGUCUGGUGGGUAGUUUGACUGGGGCGGUCUCCUCCUAAAGAGUAACGGAGGAGCACGAAGGUUGGCUAAUCCUGGUCGGACAUCAGGAGGUUAGUGCAAUGGCAUAAGCCAGCUUGACUGCGAGCGUGACGGCGCGAGCAGGUGCGAAAGCAGGUCAUAGUGAUCCGGUGGUUCUGAAUGGAAGGGCCAUCGCUCAACGGAUAAAAGGUACUCCGGGGAUAACAGGCUGAUACCGCCCAAGAGUUCAUAUCGACGGCGGUGUUUGGCACCUCGAUGUCGGCUCAUCACAUCCUGGGGCUGAAGUAGGUCCCAAGGGUAUGGCUGUUCGCCAUUUAAAGUGGUACGCGAGCUGGGUUUAGAACGUCGUGAGACAGUUCGGUCCCUAUCUGCCGUGGGCGCUGGAGAACUGAGGGGGGCUGCUCCUAGUACGAGAGGACCGGAGUGGACGCAUCACUGGUGUUCGGGUUGUCAUGCCAAUGGCACUGCCCGGUAGCUAAAUGCGGAAGAGAUAAGUGCUGAAAGCAUCUAAGCACGAAACUUGCCCCGAGAUGAGUUCUCCCUGACUCCUUGAGAGUCCUGAAGGAACGUUGAAGACGACGACGUUGAUAGGCCGGGUGUGUAAGCGCAGCGAUGCGUUGAGCUAACCGGUACUAAUGAACCGUGAGGCUUAACCUU